rnacentral:rRNA from 1 species
AAGGCCCACCAAGGCGACGAUCAGUAGCCGGUCUGAGAGGGUGAUCGGCCACACUGGGACUGAGACACGGCCCAGACUCCUACGGGAGGCAGCAGUAGGGAAUCUUCGGCAAUGGACGGAAGUCUGACCGAGCAACGCCGCGUGAGUGAAGAAGGUUUUCGGAUCGUAAAACUCUGUUGUUAGAGAAGAACAAGGAUGAGAGUAACUGUUCAUCCCUUGACGGUAUCUAACCAGAAAGCCACGGCUAACUAC